UCCGGAAAGUGGGGAUAUGCUCUGGAGAGCAAGUGAAUGAAAUUCAGUAGGAACAAGACUGAGUACGUGUGUGAAUGAGAGAGAGCACAGUGGAAUAAUGUGCUUACAAGGAGUAGAAAUGCUUACAGUAGAUUUGCUUAAAU